rnacentral:rRNA from 1 species
UACGGGGGGAGCAAGCGUUGUUCGGAUUUACUGGGCGUAAAGGGCGCGUAGGCGGCCACCGCAAGUCGACUGUGAAAUCUCCGGGCUUAACCCGGAAAGGUCAGCCGAUACUGCGGGGCUAGAGUGCAGAAGGGGCAACUGGAAUUCUCGGUGUAGCGGUGAAAUGCGUAGAUAUCAGGAGGAACACCUGCGGUGUAGACGGCUUACUGGACCAUGACUGACGCUGAGGCACGAAAGCGUGGGGAGCAAACAGG